CACGAACGCUGGCGGCAGGCUUAACACAUGCAAGUCGAGCGCCCCGCAAGGGGAGCGGCAGACGGGUGAGUAACGCGUGGGAAUCUACCCAUCUCUACGGAAUAACGCAUGGAAACGUGUGCUAAUACCGUAUACGUCCUUCGGGAGAAAGACUUAUCGGAGAUGGAUGAGCCCGCGUUGGAUUAGCUAGUUGGUGGGGUAAAGGCCUACCAAGGCGACGAUCCAUAGCUGGUCUGAGAGGAUGAUCAGCCACACUGGGGCUGAGACACGGCCCAGAAUCCUACGGGAGGCAGCAGUGGGGAAUAUUGGACAAUGGGCGCAAGCCUGAUCCAGCCAUGCCGCGUGAGUGAUGAAGGCCCUAGGGUUGUAAAGCUCUUUCACCGGUGAAGAUAAUGACGGUAACCGGAGAAGAAGCCCCGGCUAACUUCGUGCCAGCAGCCGCCGUAAAAC
rnacentral:rRNA from 1 species